rnacentral:rRNA from 1 species
AUUGCACGCUGGCGGCAGGCCUAACACAUGCAAGUCGAACGAGUGGCGGACGGGUGAGUAAUGUCUGGGAAACUGCCCGAUGGAGGGGGAUAACUACUGGAAACGGUAGCUAAUACCGCAUACCAUCGGAUGUGCCCAGAUGGGAGUAGCUAGUAGGUGGGGUAAUGGCUCACCUAGGCGACGAUCCCUAGCUGGUCUGAGAGGAUGACCAGCCACACGGGAAACGAGACACCGGUCAGACUCCUAAGGGAGGGAGCAGUGGGGAAAAUUUGACAAUGGGCGGAAGCCGGAAGGAACCAUGCCGGGGUUAAUAAGAAGGCCUUUGGGGUGGAAAGGAACUUCAGGGAGGGAGCGUUACUCGCAGAAGAAGCACCGGCUAACUCCGUGCCAGCCGCCGCGGUAAUUC